rnacentral:rRNA from 1 species
UACGAGAGGCCCAAACGUUAUUCGGAAUUACUGGGCUUAAAGAGUUCGUAGGCGGCAUUGCAAGUAGGGUGUGAAAGCCCUCGGCUCAACCGAGGAAUUGCGCCCUAAACUGACGAGCUGGAGUGGGACAGGGGUGUGUGGAACUUCCGGUGGAGCGGUGAAAUGUGUUGAUAUCGGAAGGAACGCCGGUGGCGAAGGCGGGUCUCUGGGAAGUAACUGACGCUGAGAAGCGAAAGCAUGGGUAGCAAACAGG